UGCUCCCCCCGGCCACGCUCCCGCCAGCCGAAGGGGCGGAGAUGGGUGUCCCGCACCGAGGGACGGGUGCUGACGAAGCCCAGGCUGUAAUGAGGGUGGGCGGAGGGAUGUUGAAGACCUUCUGCGUUUUUCUUCGCACCGCAAGCUUUUGCCAUUCCAGGUGAAUGCAAUGUCUCUUCCAAUCUCCAACUACAGAAGCAGUGAUGAUCUGAAUGCAGUCUGACCCACCCCCUCCAUACCUUGGGGAACACUGCAAAUGGCCUAUUCAGGUAGACACUACUUGAGAUACCGCAUCUUGCCCAACUGACUGCCGAUCUGCAGUGCUUUGCCAGAAGCUACCAAUGUUGUGGGAAAACCUCUACAAUAAAGCUAGAGGAAGAGACCCAGCAGAAGUCCUUAAAGUUCAGACUGUUUUAUUCUGAAAGACUACUGAAGUAGCACAAGAGUGUGAGCACCGCUGGAAUGGGCCAUUUCCGCAGACCAGUUCAGCUGCAGGACUUUCAGGAAGUGGCAUGACUUUUUGGUGAAAGAAUUCUUUGAAGAAGAGUUCUUUGAAGCAUGGCCAUACUUAAGGCGACAGAUUUUUGUAACUUUUUACCCUCCUUUCUGUAGUAUUAAAUAUUUUUUAUUUAGGUACUUGUUUAUUCUUAAGCAGUAAGAAUUUAGCUAAGACAGAACUGCUGGGGGCUUCUGUAUUAAGCAUCUGUUCUCAAAUAGCCAUAUUUAGCCUAAUGCUCUUAUUUUGCUGAUAGAAACUAAGUUUAGAAACUGCUUUGCCACUGUUUUUUUUGCCAGUGUGAGCUGUAUUUUGAGUGAUAUUGAAAAUCAAGCUGCACUCUUGACAAAUGGCUGAUACAUUUACUGACGCUGUCAUUCCUUACACUGUGGUUACUAUAAUGUAUUGUCCAUGUAAAAAACACUACAUUUAAUUUAGUGUUCUUUAAAGAACUAUGAAGCUUACACACUGAAGAAAUAUGGAAUAUGGAGAAUAUAUUAUAUAUAUUUUAUAUAUAUAUUAUACAUAAUCAUAAAAUUUUAGUCUCUUGAUGGUGAGGGGAGCCCAGCAUUUUAGAAAGAAUCAUAAAAGCUGCCUUGAAUCCAUGUGUUGUCUAUAGCAACAUCAGCUUAAAAAAAAACCCAAACCCACAAUCAUUUCUGAGGAAGCAUGCAUAAUGCAGUAAAGAGUUUAACUGCCAGCUUGUAUGCCAGAAGUGGAAAACUGAACAUAAAAGAAGGGGAUGGAGACAUAGCCCUCAACCUUCUGUGGGCACCCAGAAAAUUGAAUUGCACUCUUUUCAUUGUUUCAGACUAGUUCUGUAGUACAUCCACACAUAGUUUGCAGAAAACAGGUUUUCCAAACUCUUAAUACCCUGCCCUGGGACAGGUUAAGUAAAGGUAUAGAUUUUAAUGAGGUGUUAGAGAAAGUGGAAAGAAAUCUGUAGUAAGACUUUCUCUGCUUCUGGGUGGGUGCCAACAUUAAGGGAAGAACUGGAUCUUUUAAAACUGAUCCUAUUUAAAACAUUAGAAUUUCUUUUUCUCCUAGUAGUUACUGAACUAAUCUAUGUUAUAAUUUUUAAGAUUCCCUCUUGGAUAAUGCAGAAUUAUUGUUUUGGUCUCUGAAAGUUUCAUCACUACAUUUGAUUUCUGAUGGCAGACUAAGCCUUCUGCUAUUCCUUAGCAGUGUGGCCACUGCAGGCUCAAGUAGUUCUAAUCAGGUGUUGGUAUCUGGAGUUGCUGUAAAUGUUUGAAAUAUUGUUCAUGUUACUCACUUAUGAUGCCACUGCGUCUCCAUAAUGUAGGUAUUGUCACUUUCUCUGAGCAGAAGGUGAAACUUCUGUACUCUAACGGCUUAGGGAAAAAGCCCUAUGAAUAUUUUCAGCAGCUAACAUUAAAAAAACCCUCUUAUUUUUGACUAGAAACAUUCUAAUAUUGAGGCAAAAAG